rnacentral:rRNA from 1 species
GACGAACGCUGGCGGCGUGCCUAAUACAUGCAAGUCGAGCGCAGGAAAUCGACGGAACCCUUCGGGGGGAAGUCGACGGAAUGAGCGGCGGACGGGUGAGUAACACGUAAAGAACCUGCCCUCAGGUCUGGGAUAACCACGAGAAAUCGGGGCUAAUACCGGAUGGGUCAUCGGACCGCAUGGUCCGAGGAUGAAAGGCGCUUCGGCGUCGCCUGGGGAUGGCUUUGCGGUGCAUUAGCUAGUUGGGGGGGUAAUGGCCCACCAAGGCGACGAUGCAAGGCGGGCGUGAGAGGGUGUCCGGCCAUACUGGGACUGAGACACGGCCCAGCCUCCUACGGGAGGCAGCAGUAGGGAAUCUUCCACAAUGGACGAAAGUCUGAUGGAGCAACGCCGCGUGAACGAUGAAGGCCUUCGGGUCGUAAAGUUCUGUUGUAAGGGAAGAACAAGUGCCGCAGGCAAUGGCGGCACCUUGACGGUACCUUGCGAGAAAGCCACGGCUAACUACGUGCCAGCCGCCGCGGUAAAAC